CACAUGUGCAUACAUGCACACAUUCCAUCCGGAGGUUCAAAGCAGGUCAUUCCUUCUAACAGAAUUACUAAAUCCAAUAUCUUAAACACCUCUGUAAUUUUACUUUCUCCUGACAUUUUCAAAAACAUUUGCUUUUUUACUUAAUUGUCCCACUGAUAUGAGCAAGACUUGCAAAUUUAAAACACUUUUUACAUAUUUUUCCCUGAGCUUGCACCCAAGUAAGAGUGGGGCUUUUGUUACUUUGCACGAGAUUCUCACGCAGAGCAGAGUGGAGGAGGAAGGAUACAUCUACAUUUAUACAUUAUACUUAACAUAUGCUUUCUCACAACCCUGUUCUUAAGCUCCAGUCCUCUACACCAGGGUCAGCAGAUGAAAACUACCUAACAUAUGGGCAACUACAAUAACACAGCUGAAGGUAUUAAUGAUCCUCUGUAAUUACACAACAUUCAAGAAGUCACAAACUCGAGCCUACUGAGCAACAUGGCUGGAGCUUCUAUGCAAGAGAUCUCCUCAGGGCAGAAGAGAAUGGGAUCUGCAGGAAGAACAUUCCUACCAAGGUUUCCCAGUGCUGCAAGUAUCCCAUGACAAUGUGGAUUGGUAAAGACACUUACAGAUGUCCAAGACAUAUUCACCUGCUGCGUUUGCUUCUUGAAUGAAAUCUUUACCCCUCUGUCACCAGCUAUUUCUGCGCUCUACAGGCUCCACUUUAAAGUACAGAAGGGUGUGAGUUCAAAAGAGCAGUGACUGCCUCCUGUCUUACAUAUAUACAAUGCCUCAUACCAUGUGAGAUUAUAAAAACAGGGCUUAUAUAUUGCCUUUUUCAAAAUGUCCUGAGGAUAUCUUCCUAUUGUUUAAUACGCUGCAGUGCAUUGACAUCCUCACCAGACAAAACUGCCUCUGUUCUGACCAGCACAGCUACACCAUUUUACCACUGAGCCCUGCUGAGAAUCUGCAUCCAUGAGCUCAGGCAACAUAGCUACGUUGCUUUGAGCUUUGAACUGAAGCAAGCAUCCUGAAGAGCUUGAUGUUGGAUGAACACAGGAGCUUGGGGAAUCACUACACUGUAAUCCACACUGGGCUGGGGAUGUACCCAAAAUGGCUUUGGUUUGUGGCUUGGAUAAAAACACAGUGAGACAUGUGGUCUAAAAUUAGUCAGGGAACCCUGAAAAUUUUUUUCAUUGUACCUCUCGCUGCUUGGUGUGGAGCCAUGAUGGGUUCGAAUAUGCACCCGUUGCACCCAUACCUUUAGGAAGUUGGUGGCUGGGGAGUCUCAUGACCUGAGUGAACCAUCGAUGGCAUCAAGGCAGCCCAGCCCUUUACCAUCAUACUGGAAGAGGAAGGGGGACAGCAGUGGAGUGUCCAAUUGCUAAACAGACUUAAAACAUAUCACUCAGUGUAAGCAACUGUCACCAGGUGCUACGUGACUGUGAGAUACUGUGGUUUGGAAGAGGAAGUGGCUGACGUUAGAGGGUCCAUGGGAAUUUUUCAAUACAGCCACUGCCUGUACUUUCAUCAGUGCUUGUUUCUACGAUAUUAGAUUUGACACAGCUGUUGCUUGCAGGGCUUUUCUUUGAAGAGUUAGAAAAUCCUAAAGCUGUCAUUUAGUGAGUGAUACUCUUCUAUAAACUAUCUGGACUUCUAUAAAUAUUGCUGACUCCAUGCAGGGCAUUAUUAUCUAAUCUCCCAGGGAACAUCUCUAAUCACAGUCUACCCGCCCAUGUCAAUCUAGGACACAUCCAACCCUUAGAAAUAGCAGUGGAGAAAUCAUAAACUGUUCUAACACAUGGAGUUGGCAGACAAGUGCGAGACAAGAUCACAAACUGUGCAAAAUGAACAGUUUGCAAGUGAACGUGCUUCUCUCUUUCCCCAUCAAAGUGCUGGUUGAGUAUCUUACGAUGACUUCAAAUUAACACACUAGCCUCCUUUCUUUUUUUCUUUUAAAUACAUUUCCCUUUAAUCAGAGCUGCCUACUUGACAGUAACACAAUUACCUGCAGUGGAUCAUCUUCUGUUCCAUGACCAAAGUGGUCUCUUUUUUUGUUAUGAAUUCGUAAAGUUUUCCAAUUGAAACAGGUCUGAGUGCCAUAUAAGAAUCAGUGUUGGUUUAAGUCUGCUGUGGAACAACUGCAAGACCUAAUUACAACCUCUUCUUACGAGCAAAUAGUGAAGGAGAAUAGAAGUCAGGAAAAAGAACUGGAUGGUUCUAUUCACCUUUAUCUUAAAUCAAACUCACCAUUCAGGAGAUGGAUCAUGAAUGACAGGGAAAUUGUUUUCUUCAUUUCUAGGUUGGCUUUAAUGUAAGUCUUCCUUGAAAAGGCUAUCCAUCGCACAAGUCUAACUGCGAAGCGUGAGUUUGUGCUAAGCCCGUGUACCAUUUUAUGGUGGAGAGAGGUUUUUGUGAGGAUUUUGGGGGGUGGUUGUCUAAGUUUGUUCACUUAAAAAGAAAGAAAGAAAAAAAGAAAAAUGAAGAGUGUUCCCUGGUAGACCACACAGGUAAGACAUACAGCAGGCUCUUCCUGUACACCAUGUGUAUGACUUAAGAACACCAGCUUGCAUUGUCUGGCUGAAUACAAAAGUACUUCAUAGUCAGCAAAGGCAAACAUACGGCGCUGGCAACAUUCCAGGUAAACAGGCUCAUGCAAACAAGAUGAUAAAUAUAUGGCUGGUGUCAGUUGUCUUUGCUAUUACUUAUUAUUUAUGGAGCAACCUUGAAGUGCAAUGGAGUACGAGAUCUGAAACUUUUUAUUGCAACAGUGGUUAGAACUUCACAGGCGUUACCAGGUUUUUACCCUAGCCAUUAGGGAGAAGUUUACAUUCUCCACCACAUACCAGCCUGGAUACUUUUUAAGCUGUACAGAUACCAAUGAGAUUACCACUUCUGAGAAAAGUCUUACUACCUAGUAGUCAGGGCAUCAUAGGUGUCAAGAUAUGGGUUUAAAAUCUGAAAAUCUGGAGGUCUCCUAUUUUAUUUUUUUAAUUUUAGGAGUGUCAUAACAGGUAAUCAUUAUGCAAAGAGUAGGGUUGCCAUCUUUGAGAGCAAGUUCCAGAAUACAUACACAAUUCUAGGAAAAAGUUUAGUGUAUGUGACUGCUAACAAGCGCUUCACUUCGGCUUCAGCAAAAGGAUGCUACCUGCUGAAACAAGUGGGUCACAAGCCUGUAAGUCUCCAUCCUUGGAGAUACUCAAAUGCCAUCUGGGCAUGGUCCUGGGCAACCUGGCUCCACGUGGCCCUGC